rnacentral:rRNA from 1 species
UACGAAGGGUGCAAACGUUGCUCGGAAUUAUUGGGCGUAAAGGGUGCGUAGGUGGCGCGUUAAGUCAGGUGUGAAAUUUCGGAGCUUAACUCCGAAACUGCAUUUGAUACUGGCGUGCUUGAGGACUGGAGAGGAGACUGGAAUUCAUGGUGUAGCAGUGAAAUGCGUAGAGAUCAUGAGGAAGACCAGUGGCGAAGGCGGGUCUCUGGACAGUUCCUGACACUGAGGCACGAAGGCCAGGGGAGCAAACGGG